CAUGCAAGUCGAGCGGACCGACGGGAGCUUGCUCCCUUAGGUCAGCGGCGGACGGGUGAGUAACACGUGGGUAACCUGCCUGUAAGACUGGGAUAACUCCGGGAAACCGGGGCUAAUACCGGAUGCUUGAUUGAACCGCAUGGUUCAAUCAUAAAAGGUGGCUUUUAGCUACCACUUACAGAUGGACCCGCGGCGCAAUAGCUAGUUGGUGAGGUAACGGCUCACCAAGGCGACCAUUCGUAGCCCACCUGAGAGGGUGAUCGGCCACACUGGGACUGAGACACGGCCCAAACUCCUACGGGAGGCAGCAGUAGGGAAUCUUCCGCAAUGGACGAAAGUCUGACGGAACAACGCCCCGUGAGUGAUGAAGGUUUUCGGAUCGUAAAACUCUUUUGUUAGGGAAGAACAAGUACCGUUCGAAUAGGGCGGCACCUUGACGGUACCUAACCAGAAAGCCACGGCUAACUACGUGCCAGCAGCCGCGGUAAUACGUAGGUGGCAAGCGUUGUCCGGAAUUAUUGGGCGUAAAGCGCGCGCAGGCGGUUUCUUAAGUCUGAUGUGAAAGCCCCCGGCUCAACCGGGGAGGGUCAUUGGAAACUGGGGAACUUGAGUGCAGAAGAGGAGAGUGGAAUUCCACGUGUAGCGGUGAAAUGCGUAGAGAUGUGGAGGA
rnacentral:rRNA from 1 species